rnacentral:lncRNA from 1 species
AAUGGUCGUUUCUUGUACAUGAAAGUGAUUUCUUGUGUUAUAAGUAUUCUUGCUAUACCCACAUCAAGUUUUAUUGUGAAAUAAAUUCUCCAAUGAGAAAAACACCUAGUUGCAAUCCUUGAGUAAGUGUAUGAGUAGGUAUUUUAAGGAACACGUUCUAGCUUUAAUGGUAACCUGGACCCUUAAAAAUCUUCAGAGUAAAAGUAGUAUAAGUUUGUGUGGGAAUAAUUCUAAUGUGAUGAAAUGUGUAAACCGAAAUGGGGCGGAAGGAUAUCACCUCACGUGGAAGAAAGGAUACCCUCUCACUGACUUCCUAAAUGUGGUGAUGACUUCUCAAACAAAUUGUGCUUGAAUUAAACCCUCUAAAAAGAGGAACUUCCUAAGUGAAGUAAACAAGUUGUAGCACUACUUAGGGUGAUCAUAGAAACUUGGAGGAAAGGAUACCCCCUCACGGACUUCCAAUGUGAAAUGAUAGCCCCUAGGCAUCUACAAGCCCCCAAAUGUAUAAAUUCAUCAAGUCUAUCUUAACUCUCCCACUUCUCUUAUAUGAAAUGAAGAAAAGAUUUUUCUCGGUCAUUUUAGUGUUAAGGUUAGAACCUGUUCCUCAUAAUAUCUAUCUUAUACAGGAGCAAGAAAAGGGUUGGACUACACACACAUACACUCACUUAAGAUUUGUUGUUGGGUUGAAUAAGUUUACAAAGAAUACUUGAAGUUGUGAUUAGUGUACAUUGAAAGGAAACCUCAAGGGAGACAUAAGCUUUUAUUUUGUUUGUUUUGUGUUGUUUUAUUUUGUUUUGUAGGUAUUUGUCCAAAUAUGAUGCAAAAAAGUGAAGAAAAAAAAAAUUGAAGCCAUUGACCAGAAACCCACCCAAAAAAAAAUAAAAAAAAAAUUCUUCCCUCUUUUUCCAGAGAGUUGGCACGGCCCGUGCCUGUGUUGGCACGGCCGUGCCAACCCAUCAGCAAAAAAAAAAAAUUUAUUUUUUUUAUUUUUUUAUUUUUUCUUCCUUAUCCAAAUCAAAUAACAUCUAUAACCCUUCUUCCGUAAUUCUCUCCAAACUUCACCAACAUUCAUCCACCCACAACCAAACCAAGCUAAGGUCAAUGGCAUCAAAAAGGAAAGGUGAGGAUAUUGAAGCCUCCGGAAGUGGUGCAAGCAAGAAGCAAUCAACAACCCGCAAUCAUGGGAUCCAAUUCAAGGAUUCCGAGCAAAGAAAUAGGUAUAAAUCUCUAAUCUCUAGAACUAUCUCUCCUUGCAGGUACCUUGAUGUUAAUGCUAUGGAUAGACUAGAAAUAGAUGAACAUAUGAUUCGGCUGUUGAAUAAAUUCACAACCUUGUGCUUAGGUACCUUCACACGGUUAUUGCUUGCACCAUAUGGGGUAGAAAAGAGGUAGGAAUGAUGAGGAAUGUUGAGCUAUUUUUGUUGUGGGCUAUGCUUUAUAACCACCAUGUUAACAUUUACUAUUAUUUGAUUUAUUAUCCUGUUUCAAUUGCUAGAAAGAAACUGGAUAUAAAGGUGAUAUAGUGGUAGGUGGAAUCAUCACUUUCAUUGUUAGAAAAUUUGAGGUAAAUGUGAAUAAAGGGAUAAAUAGGAUUGAGGGAAACUACUAUCUAGACUUAGAAACCCUCACUACCAUGUUUUUUUUAGAAUUCAUGGCCCUUCUCACAAUUACCAAUAUGAGUGGAGAGUCAAUACUACUAAUUUCUUGAUUAUUCUACCUAAUUCAGAUAUUACUAAUUCGGAGGUGGUAGAAAACUAGGUUUGUGUUGGCACUAACCCACAGGUACACAAUGAUGGUGAUGAAGAGGAGGUAGGUGCAAAAUUGCACCAUUAACAAGAAGCCGGUGGAAACUAUAAUGAUGAACGGUGGGCAUGGAUGCAAACCAAAGUUCAAAGAACAUGCACCGAGCAAUAAAGACAAGGUGUUAAAAUGAUCGGGCUAAGAAAUGAUGUCCUAAGGGGCACUCAAAUAAAUGAAUAAAACAAUCAAAUGUUCCGAUACAUGAUGCAACACCUUCACCUCCAAGGUCCACCUUAUGGACUUCAAUAAAAUUGUGAGCUCUCCUCUUCCUUUACUCUUCUCUACUUCUCUUCUUUCUUCAUCCUCUUCUUCUUUUUCUUCUUCUUCUUUUAAAUCAUUGAGGACAAUGCUUCUCCUAAGUGUGGGGGGAGCCUAAUAAAGUGUCUUUAGUCGUACUGUUUCCAAACUCCCUUGAACUUUAUUCUUUUGUUGUGUUUUAUUGUAAAAGGCAUGAAUAAGCAGCUCGUUUUUAUUGUUUUAUUAUGACAUAAUUUUUUGUUGUCUCUUCAAUGGUCGUUUCUUGUACAUGAAAGUGAUUUCUUGUGUUAUAAGUAUUCUUGCUAUACCCACAUCAAGUUUUAUUGUGAAAUAAAUUCUCCAAUGAGAAAAACACCUAGUUGCAAUCCUUGAGUAAGUGUAUGAGUAGGUAUUUUAAGGAACACGUUCUAGCUUUAAUGGUAACCUGGACCCUUAAAAAUCUUCAGAGUAAAAGUAGUAUAAGUUUGUGUGGGAAUAAUUCUAAUGUGAUGAAAUGUGUAAACCGAAAUGGGGCGGAAGGAUAUCACCUCACGUGGAAGAAAGGAUACCCUCUCACUGACUUCCUAAAUGUGGUGAUGACUUCUCAAACAAAUUGUGCUUGAAUUAAACCCUCUAAAAAGAGGAACUUCCUAAGUGAAGUAAACAAGUUGUAGCACUACUUAGGGUGAUCAUAGAAACUUGGAGGAAAGGAUACCCCCUCACGGACUUCCAAUGUGAAAUGAUAGCCCCUAGGCAUCUACAAGCCCCCAAAUGUAUAAAUUCAUCAAGUCUAUCUUAACUCUCCCACUUCUCUUAUAUGAAAUGAAGAAAAGAUUUUUCUCGGUCAUUUUAGUGUUAAGGUUAGAACCUGUUCCUCAUAAUAUCUAUCUUAUACAGGAGCAAGAAAAGGGUUGGACUACACACACAUACACUCACUUAAGAUUUGUUGUUGGGUUGAAUAAGUUUACAAAGAAUACUUGAAGUUGUGAUUAGUGUACAUUGAAAGGAAACCUCAAGGGAGACAUAAGCUUUUAUUUUGUUUGUUUUGUGUUGUUUUAUUUUGUUUUGUAGGUAUUUGUCCAAAUAUGAUGCAAAAAAGUGAAGAAAAAAAAAAUUGAAGCCAUUGACCAGAAACCCACCCAAAAAAAAAUAAAAAAAAAAUUCUUCCCUCUUUUUCCAGAGAGUUGGCACGGCCCGUGCCUGUGUUGGCACGGCCGUGCCAACCCAUCAGCAAAAAAAAAAAAUUUAUUUUUUUUAUUUUUUUAUUUUUUCUUCCUUAUCCAAAUCAAAUAACAUCUAUAACCCUUCUUCCGUAAUUCUCUCCAAACUUCACCAACAUCCAUCCACCCACAACCAAACCAAGCUAAGGUCAAUGGCAUCAAAAAGGAAAGGUGAGGAUAUUGAAGCCUCCGGAAGUGGUGCAAGCAAGAAGCAAUCAACAACCCGCAAUCAUGGGAUCCAAUUCAAGGAUUCCGAGCAAAGAAAUAGGUAUAAAUCUCUAAUCUCUAGAACUAUCUCUCCUUGCAGGUACCUUGAUGUUAAUGCUAUGGAUAGACUAGAAAUAGAUGAACAUAUGAUUCGGCUGUUGAAUAAAUUCACAACCUUGUGCUUAGGUACCUUCACACGGUUAUUGCUUGCACCAUAUGGGGUAGAAAAGAGGUAGGAAUGAUGAGGAAUGUUGAGCUAUUUUUGUUGUGGGCUAUGCUUUAUAACCACCAUGUUAACAUUUACUAUUAUUUGAUUUAUUAUCCUGUUUCAAUUGCUAGAAAGAAACUGGAUAUAAAGGUGAUAUAGUGGUAGGUGGAAUCAUCACUUUCAUUGUUAGAAAAUUUGAGGUAAAUGUGAAUAAAGGGAUAAAUAGGAUUGAGGGAAACUACUAUCUAGACUUAGAAACCCUCACUACCAUGUUUUUUUUAGAAUUCAUGGCCCUUCUCACAAUUACCAAUAUGAGUGGAGAGUCAAUACUACUAAUUUCUUGAUUAUUCUACCUAAUUCAGAUAUUACUAAUUCGGAGGUGGUAGAAAACUAGGUUUGUGUUGGCACUAACCCACAGGUACACAAUGAUGGUGAUGAAGAGGAGGUAGGUGCAAAAUUGCACCAUUAACAAGAAGCCGGUGGAAACUAUAAUGAUGAACGGUGGGCAUGGAUGCAAACCAAAGUUCAAAGAACAUGCACCGAGCAAUAAAGACAAGGUGUUAAAAUGAUCGGGCUAAGAAAUGAUGUCCUAAGGGGCACUCAAAUAAAUGAAUAAAACAAUCAAAUGUUCCGAUACAUGAUGCAACACCUUCACCUCCAAGGUCCACCUUAUGGACUUCAAUAAAAUUGUGAGCUCUCCUCUUCCUUUACUCUUCUCUACUUCUCUUCUUUCUUCAUCCUCUUCUUCUUUUUCUUCUUCUUCUUUUAAAUCAUUGAGGACAAUGCUUCUCCUAAGUGUGGGGGGAGCCUAAUAAAGUGUCUUUAGUCGUACUGUUUCCAAACUCCCUUGAACUUUAUUCUUUUGUUGUGUUUUAUUGUAAAAGGCAUGAAUAAGCAGCUCGUUUUUAUUGUUUUAUUAUGACAUAAUUUUUUGUUGUCUCUUCAAUGGUCAUUUCUUGUACAUGAAAAUGAUUUCUUGUGUUAUAAGUAUUCUUGCUAUACCCACAUCAAGUUUUAUUGUGAAAUAAAUUCUCCAAUGAGAAAAACACCUAGUUGCAAUCCUUGAGUAAGUGUAUGAGUAGGUAUUUUAAGGAACACGUUCUAGCUUUAAUGGUAACCUGGACCCUUAAAAAUCUUCAGAGUAAAAGUAGUAUAAGUUUGUGUGGGAAUAAUUCUAAUGUGAUGAAAUGUGUAAACCGAAAUGGGGCGGAAGGAUAUCACCUCACGUGGAAGAAAGGAUACCCUCUCACUGACUUCCUAAAUGUGGUGAUGACUUCUCAAACAAAUUGUGCUUGAAUUAAACCCUCUAAAAAGAGGAACUUCCUAAGUGAAGUAAACAAGUUGUAGCACUACUUAGGGUGAUCAUAGAAACUUGGAGGAAAGGAUACCCCCUCACGGACUUCCAAUGUGAAAUGAUAGCCCCUAGGCAUCUACAAGCCCCCAAAUGUAUAAAUUCAUCAAGUCUAUCUUAACUCUCCCACUUCUCUUAUAUGAAAUGAAGAAAAGAUUUUUCUCGGUCAUUUUAGUGUUAAGGUUAGAACCUGUUCCUCAUAAUAUCUAUCUUAUACAGGAGCAAGAAAAGGGUUGGACUACAC